UUAAUAAAUUAAUUGUACACUUUCAGACUUUCAGUGUCAGCCUAAUAAUAGAGGAUUGUACCAUGUUCCUCUGCCCCCGUAAUAAAAAGAGAAAGAGGUUAUUAAAAUAUUAAAAAAAAAGCUAUUUCUUUAUUUUUACUAUGCAUUCGAAUUCUACAAGACGUACUGAUAUUUGAUCCAAAUUUCAUAUUUCCUAACAUUUUCCCCAAAAUUCUGCAAAACGAUAUGCGUGGGUUGGGCUUGACUCGGCCGUUGAAUUUCUUUACCAUUUACCAUUGCAAGAUCCAACCUUUUCUAACUCCUGAUGUUUGUGCGAGAAGGGGCCCCGGGAUGGAUGGGCUUUUAGACCCACUCUGUUGUUUUUCUCUAUUGUCCCCAUUUCGUUUAGCCGACAUCAAGUGCCAGUUUCAUCUUCGUCCUCGCUGUCCCUCCGACCAAAAUCCUCUCUCAUUUUUGUCCGUAACUCUGGUCUCAACAAUCAUUUCUGUUAAUUGGACCAGGGUGAUCGACUCUGCGUUUCUAAUCGUCUAUUUUCAACUUUGAUGUCUUCGAGAAUGAAAUUCAUACAACAGUUUCAUAUGUAAUUUCUGGCCUCUCUCUUCCUUCGACCCAUUUUGCCGUCGUAUUUUACGUAAAAGGACACUCUCCCAUUAUAAUUACCGGUAAACGGAGACAGUCACAGAAAUUGGGUCGGGGAAUUCACUGCUUGAUUUUUCCUUCAUGGGUGUUCCUCGAAUCCUUGACCAUUUUGUGGAGCAUUUUCUAUUCCUUUUUGGAGGUAAACUUAAAACUUCUGUGGGCAAAUUCCGGAUUUGACUUUUUAAUGCUUGAUUCAUAUCCGACAGCAAAUGUUGAAGACAGCUGGUUUACGUUAGGUUCAUACAAAAAGCAUAACACAAACAAAAAUUUUGUUCUGAAUGCCAGUGGCAGUGGGUUCAAUUCAGCUGUUCCCGAAUCUAAUGUGUAUCGUGGAAAAGGAUCUUGAAAUGGAAGAACUGAACGGAGCACUCAUAGCAGAAAUUAUGAGUGAUAAUGGCAUAAACUCUUGGUGGAAAGGCCACAGAUAAGUGGGUCAGCUAGCUGAGCUGCCCAUGCUUCUCAGUUCUCCCUCCAAACUUUCUUGGUAUUUACACUCCUCCUGCAUGUUCUGUUUCUGUUUCUGCUUGCUGAUGGCAUUGGCGGCACAGUGAAGCAACAGCUACGAUCAGAAUCAGUGUGGCUGGCUAGUCCAUCUAACACGCUUGUAUUUAUACAGAGUAAUUCUAUACAUAAGCCACUGUUUAUGUAGCACACCACACACUUAUAGGUUGAUGAAUAAUAGCUGCUUUCAAUAUUUUA